ACGGGCUUACUUUGUUUUCGAAUAAAGGUCACUGAAGAGGAGCAAAGUAAAUUCAAAGGUAAUGAAGUUGACGGAGAAGCAGUGGACUAUGGAUUGACUGAGAGGAUGGUUUCAUACCUCUUUGAAGGAUUGUUUAAGAAGCAAGCCAAAUUCAACCGAUUUGUACAGCAGUGGAAAGAAACCGUGACACUAACCGUUGAGCCUGUCCCGGUACAUUCAGAGAAGGCUACAGUGGAAUCAAGAAUGAAUAUCUGCCGAAGAUUUGAAGAUGGCUUUAAGAUCCUAGUACCCACAGUGCUUAGACUGACUCAAAGGAAAUCUCCCCUUGCAGAUCUGGCUUUGGAGGAAAGAGAGGCUGCCCUCACCGAAGAUGUCCCUG